rnacentral:rRNA from 1 species
AUGAGUAUGAAUAACGAAAAAGGGUUUCCCCGCUUUGUAUUACAAAGCAACCAACCGAGACAACCGACGAUAGGGGCUGGGGCGGAAGCAGCACAAACACGCCAAAAAGAAAGGAAAGAGAAAAAAGAAAAGAAACAAAUGCCGAUAACGGCGGAUCGACAAAAGCGACGAAGCCUCGUGACCGCUGCGUCCACCGAAGAUCACCCACCAAGCUCCGAGACUCCGAAGUGCCGGUACCCAACAACACCUCCAAGAAGGGACGCGACGAUGACGACGCUGCUGCCAAGGGUUUCCCCCGGUACACGGCGAGGAGAGAGGAAGGGUAGCCCCGAUGCCCUCCAGGAAGGUCCGGCGGCACCCUCAGGCGCCACCGCGUCGGUGUUGGCCAAGCCAACAAAGAUUUCUCCCGAUCCCAGCCUCUACCUCAGGCACUCCGGAGCUCGCCACCAGACUGACCACCACCCUACGCCAACACGAACAUGA